rnacentral:rRNA from 3 species
GAAUGCUGACAUAAGUAACGAUAAAGCGGGUGAAAAGCCCGCUCGCCGGAAGACCAAGGGUUCCUGUCCAACGUUAAUCGGGGCAGGGUGAGUCGACCCCUAAGGCGAGGCCGAAAGGCGUAGUCGAUGGGAAACGGGUUAAUAUUCCCGUACUUGGUGUUACUGCGAAGGGGGGACGGAGAAGGCUAUGUUGGCCGGGCGACGGUUGUCCCGGUUUAAGCGUGUAGGUGUGUGUUCCAGGUAAAUCCGGUUCACUUUAACACUGAGGCGUGAUGACGAGGCACUACGGUGCUGAAGUAACAAAUGCCCUGCUUCCAGGAAAAGCCUCUAAGCAUCAGGUAACAUCAAAUCGUACCCCAAACCGACACAGGUGGUCAGGUAGAGAAUACCAAGGCGCUUGAGAGAACUCGGGUGAAGGAACUAGGCAAAAUGGUGCCGUAACUUCGGGAGAAGGCACGCUGACAC